GACGAACGCUGGCGGCGUGCUUAACACAUGCAAGUCGAACGGUGAUACUCCAGCUUGCUGGAGUGGAUCAGUGGCGAACGGGUGAGUAACACGUGAGCAACCUGCCCCAGACUCUGGAAUAAGCGCUGGAAACGGCGUCUAAUCCUGGAUACGAAACUGGCCCGCAUGGGCAUGGUUUGGAAAGUUUUUCGGUUUGGGAUGGGCUCGCGGCCUAUCAGCUUGUUGGUGAGGUAAUGGCUCACCAAGGCGACGACGGGUAGGCGGCCUGAGAGGGCGACCGGCGUCACGAGUACUGAGAGAGGGCGCAGUGGGCAACAGUGGGCAAUAGUGGGGAAUAUGACACAGUGAGCGAGAGUCUGUUGAAGCGACGCUGGGGUAGUGAAGACGGCCUGCGGGGUAUAAACCGCAGUAGGCUAGUAAGAAGCGAUAGUGACGGUACCUGAAGAAUAAGCACCGGCUAACUACGUG
rnacentral:rRNA from 1 species